rnacentral:sRNA from 1 species
UAGUAGAAAAGGAAGGACUACGUGA